GGUAGAAAGGAGGGUGGCCAGGGACAGGUGGGGCUUUAAAUCACGGCAGCGUGACCACUGGGGCUUCAGGUACAGUGCAUUGUCCUCCUUCUGCACAACCACCGCUUUCAUGUCAUCCCAGGAGAAAUGCACCUUCUUGACCGUGGGAGACUAAGGGGACAGUAACUUAGGAGUAGUUGAGGCAGGCAGACGGACAGCAGAGCCAGGGAUAUCCUCAAGCACUGGAGGUCUAUCCCAGGGGGAGGGCCAGGGCCAGGGCCAGUGGAUGCCAGGUAGUUGCAGGAAGAGCUGGGGGUGUAGAUGUUCGAAGCAAGGCGGAAUCCUAGUCCCUGAGGCCCAAGUGUCCUGGGAGGCUGGCACAAACCAGGAUGUAGCCAAAAGGAAAAAGGCAGAAGCUGGGGUACCUAAUCGGCUACAAGGUCUAAGCAGGACUUGGAGGUGAGCAUGAUGUGAUGCUGACGGCUGGACUGUUAAGCUCCUCAGCUUUCUCUGAGUCAGGGAUGGUGCAGAGACUGAGAUGCAUUGAUGCUUCCAUGCGUGUCCAAUGUCUGGAGUCCGACAGAGCAGCCAGUGUGAAGCACAGAGAGCAACAGGUUGUGUUGACAAGCAGAGAUGUUCCAUGGAAGCACCUCGUCCUCCACCAAUGACGCCACCUGCUAUUUCCCUUUCUAGUUUGACAAGCACCUGUGCUCCGGUAGUUCUUGAAAUAAUUGUUUGUGAAUCAGUUUUAUUGCACGUCUUUCAAAGCAGACUAAAUCAGUAUUCUUUGAUUUGAAAAUACAGGGUUUAAAAAUAAUCUUUGAAAAAGCUUUAAUUAAGCAUGCAGUAGAGAACGAACAAGUGAAAAUCUAGUGUUUCAACCAAAUCUUACAGAUAUUUGUUGUUAAAAUGAGACAUCUCAAAGUGGCCCAUUUCGCAGACCUUUAAUUCUUUUAGUACCUUUAAUCAUUCCUUUUAAAACACUGGAAAAAGAAGAAACAUGGUCAGGAAAAUUGGAAAAUAAUGACGACUUUGUGAAAAUAGCUGCUGUUGAAAUUCAGGUAUGCGUGCACUUAGAUAAUUCAAACGUGGUUCCAGAUGGCAUUAAAAGGCAGUGCUGCCGCUGAAUUAACGAAGAAACAUAUUCCACUCGGCAAGGGUAUUUUUAGAGUUCAAAAAUAGAGACCUGGGAAGGUAUCCGAAGAUCGGAAAAUAUGAAGUAAGGUACAUCUUCUAAAAAGAGAAAGAAUAACGUGGUAAUUAUCCUAAAUGUAUAAUUCUUAUUAAUUUUAGAGGAAAUAGUAAGAUAAAAUAGCUCAGGAACGCAGAGUCUUCGGGCGCAUUUAAAACCAAGCGUCAUGGGCUUUGAAAGGUUGAGGAUGGUUCUUCCAGAGGGCGUUUCGUUUCCCUUUCUUCGUGGGUUGUGCUCUUUCCCACCCUGGAUUCCCUUUCCCGUCUCACCUCUUGCUUCGCAGUUUCUGUUCCCUUGACUUCUGCUUCCCUGGGCUUCUUGCUCUCCUGCGGGCCUCUCUCUGGCUCCCCGCGCGAAGUCCUUCUCCCCGGGGCCGUGGGGGGGUGGUCAGGGCGAGACCCUGCGGGGCAGCCUGCGUGGGAUGCCAGCGGGGCCCUCACUUUCCUGCCUUCCAGCACCUUCCCUCCCUACCCAGCCUUACAUUCUACUUACUCUGGCUCCUCGGUACCUGCUGAGUAUCAGCUGCAGUUUUCCUAACUCUGGGAAUAUAAUUAACCAAAGGCAUAUCGACUAUCUGCUCCAGUGAAGACACUGGGAUGCCAUGGAUGACCCGAAAGGCUACCUGCCCGGCUUCCUUCCGCCUUGCAGGAGCUCGCCGUCUCUGCCCUCCACACUCCACCCACUCCUGAGCCCAAACUGAGAUCCCUUUUCUCAUUUUCCCCAUCACUCCACCUCCAGGAAGCCGCCCAGCUCCUCAUUACAGGGUCUUCUCUUUACCUGGAGCCUGCAGCACAGCAUUUCCGGAGCAAAGCCUGAAAAAUGCUAUUUCUUGGGAAAUUUGAUUGUUUUUUUUUUUUAAUUAAAACGGUGUUAUGUGGUCAGACACGUAUGGGAGUUGCUAAUUUAAAUGAAGUUAAUUUGGUUUCUUUACCACAGGAUUUCCCGCAGCUUUUAAUAUCUUGAUCUGCAUUUGGAAUCCUUGUGUUCGGGUUCCGGGGUGCAGACCUGGCAUUGAUAUUUCAGGGUAGAUCUCAUUUCACAGAAUAGCAAAUGGGACUGAGGUUCCACGGAGCACAAUUUGGAAAACUCACCUGAGGUACGUAUUGUAUCAGCUAUUUAUGUUAUGUUUAUAAGUCCAUUUCUUCAAUUAAAUUGGCAGUUUCAAAUUUUCGAACCCUAUGCUUUAUCCUUCUUUAUUCGCCACACACCUGUGUGACACACUGUGGUUUGCUUUACACAAGACAUGAUUUCAAGCAAAACCCAAGCUACUGCUUAUCAAGAACUUCUGUGCAAGGCGCAGUGUCUCGUGGGGACUACAGUGUGGCAACACUGCACGGUCUUCCUUCAAUAAUUAAUGUUUUGCUUGUGUGACGUUUUAGAAUUUACCUUGUGCUUUUAGAUAAGGCAUUUUAUUUGAGCUUUUCGACAGUCUUGUGAUGUUUGAUAAGUGUUACUCAUCCCACUUAGCGAGAGAGUAAACUGGGUUCCAAGAAAGUUCGAUAACUUGAGAGAUUCUUUGUGAAGGACCAGAGGCAGCCGCGGUGCCAGCACCUCUGCUUUUUGUGCAGGAGGCUGUCCACAGCACAAGAAGAUUCCUGAAGCAGUGUCCACUCUGAAGGCAUCAGAGAGUUGCCCAAACACACUUAACACAAAUCACUACCAUGCUGGUGUUCGCUGGAGUGUAUAUUGUAGAGGAGAGUACGCUUUCCCAAAACUUCGCACAACUUUGCCUGUCUUUGCACAACUAACAAGUUUGACGUGGAGUGAUGGGCAAUUAUCCAAACAGACCUAUGCCCACUCUAGGUGGUGUGAUUUGGGACAAAUUGCCAUGUUUACUGGGACCUUCAUACAUAAGGUAGAAACCCAGCAACUUGUCUGCAAGCCAAGGAGGUAAUUUUGUCUCUGUUGCCAUGAAAACGUGACCACGUUUUGCCAGCAUCACCGCUUUCACUGUUUAAAGGCACCUGAAUAAGGAAGGCCCCUUAAAUCUAAAGAAGAAUGGAGCUGUCCAUCCUGGAAAGGAAUCUGAAGUGGGUGGUGAAAUUAUACACAGGUACUGGAGGGGAGCAAACUGAACAACAUGGAUUGGGAGUGGAACUUGUAAUGAUAAUAAAAAUACAAUAAAAAUGAAAUCCGGACAUAUUGGAGGAGGUAGCAAAGUUGAUAUAGAAAUUAUAAUUAAGUAGUGGCAGUACACAAUAUUUAUGAAAAAGAAAAGAUUAUAUUUACAAAUGGCUUAAGGCUGUGAAAAGCAAGCAACAGACUAUGAAAAUUUUGUAUUUAUUGUGGUAAUUGCAGUGUAUUUUUGAAUUAUAGAGUUUUAUAAACUUUAAUAACUUGCCUUCAUCUACUUUUAUAUUUUAAUUUAAAUAUUUUAGAAAUAUUGCUUAUAAAAUUGUAUUUUUAAAUUUUAGGGGGGAGGUAUGAAAUUGUCUAGUAUUUUCUAAAAUUACCAGCUUUUUCAAUUAGCAGUGCAGAAAUAAUGCACUUUUCCUGGGUAAGAGAAAUAGUCAUGCCUAAAAAUUCUAGCAAGGAUGAAGAUUUCCAAGAGCUAGAUGGAGGAAGGUGCUUACGAAAUAAACUUUUAGGUUCUCUCAAUAUCUUUGAGUAUGUUGCCAUCCUUGUUUAAGGAUCGUAUUGAAAGGUGUUCCCCUCAGUUUCUGACGGGCCUUUCAACUGGGGUUUAUAACCCAUUUUCAUAGUAAUUGUUCCUUUGUGGGCACCCUGCUCAUGAUGUGUUUGGAGGAGACCUUGGAACUGGCUUUUAAGACAGCAUAUGGAUGAUAUUCUUCUAAACCGCAUAUACCAGGCUGUACAGCAGAUGGUGACAGCCAGGCCCAGUGUGGCUACUGUUGAUGACAUGGGGCAGGGGUAGCAAACUCCAGCCUGCAGCCCACAUAGGGGCUGCUGCUGAUUUGGGUAAAUGAGGCUGUUUAGGAAUGCAGCCAUGCCCAGCCGUCUAUGUAUCGUCUGUGGUGGCUUUUGCACGGGGUAGGCAGAAGAGAGUGGUUGUGAUGGAUACCUCGGGGCCACGGAGCCUUGACUCUCGGGUCCUUUGCGCAAAGUUUGCCUGCUCUGACAUAGAGGAUGUGGGGUGGACAGCCAGUGGUUUCCCCCAUCCAGUACCCAGUUACCCGUUUUCUGGUAACAGCUCCCGAUUCCCCUUCAGGGAACGGACCUCCUAUGUUCUCGAUCCGAGUUCUUUGAGGUCCUGUCCUGCUCCAGCUUCAAGGGCCCAGCCUCUGCUGACCAAAGGCAGUCGCCGGCCGUGACCCGUUCAGGGAUGGGUGCUUUCUUUUCUUCUGGCCAACUCAGGACCUUUGAGAAAGUUGUAUUCUGCUAGGCGAGAGGGCUUAUUUCUUCCUGGUUUGCUAAAUUUAUAGGAGAUCAAUCAACUGCCAAGUUGUGAGAGAGCCCGCCUAAGAAGGAAGGUCACCAAAGCAAAGCUGGUCAAAUACUAAAGAGAAAAAGAUGGAGACAGAAAUAGAAUGAAAAUGAACUCCACCAGUAUAUGUACAUCAAUACCCAUCUCUCUGUCUGUCUGUCUGUCUAUCUAUCUAUCUGUCAACCACAUUUGGGUAACAUGGCUUGCUGCCUGGAAUCUAGCUCUACCGGACCCCCCUGCAAAGUCAGACCCUGCUUUAGGGUGGGUUCUGAUAUUUCCAAAAGGAAGAAUGCCAGUGGCUGCAACGCGUUCUCACAAUGAAGUGGGGAGCAGGGAGUGGAGAGCGUGCUGAAGAAAGAAUCUUCCAAAAUCUGUAGAAAAGAGUCAAAAAGUCACUCUCUGGCAGAAGGAAAAAAGAUGUCAGGCAGAGAGAAAAUCACUUGUCGCCAUACGCCUGUUUGCUUUGCGGGACGCAGAACAAAUGGUGUGGGAAUAGCUGGUUCACAGGAACCAGCGCUUUGGCUCAUCUCCGAGAACAUGACAGGCGCCUUGAGGUUGCCAGUUGAAUUCAAAGGGCUUGAAGGAAGAUGUUAAAACCAAGCCCUCCUCAAAGGCAUUCUGCAAAGUGACAAGGGGGCCACAGAUUUAGGGUUCCAUUUAUAUGAUGUGUCCUGAAAAGGCACGUGUAUAGAGACAGCAGGUAGACUGACGGUUGCCUGCUCCUGGAGGUGGGGAAAGAGUAGCUGCAAAUGGACUCAAGAGAACUUCCUGGAGGGAUGGAAUGUUCUCAGACUGAUUUGUGGUGACACUUGUUUCACUCGGUAAUGUUAAUAAAAACCACUGAAUUAUACAUUGAAAUGGAUGAAUUUUUAACAUGUAAAAUAUACUUCAAUAAGAUUGUUAAAAAAGAGGUACAGGGAGGUCCCAUCAUGGCUCAGUGGUAACAAACCCAACUAGCAUCCAUGAGGUCGAGGGUUCCGUCCGUGGCCUUGCUCAGUGGGUUAAGCAUCUGGCAUUGCUGUAAACUGUGGUGUAGGUCACAGAGGUGGCUCAGAUCCUUCAUUGCUGUGACUGUGGCUGUGGCUGUGGCUGUGGCCGGCAGCUGUAGCUCCAAUUUGACCCCUCGCCUGUGAACUUCUAUCCAUGUGCCAGAUGACACAAAAAGACAAAAAGAAAAAGAAAAAAAAAAAGAAAAGAAAAAGAGGUACAAAAGAUAAAAAUAGGAUGAAAGUGAAAUAAAUAGCAAUGCUUAAAACAGAGUUUUAUUUAAAAAUAGUUCCUACUGAGUUGGUUUAUGGUGUUGGUGAUAAUGUCACUUAGACCUAAAUGCAAUGUACGUACCUUGGUCAGAUUCUGGUGAAGAAAGAAAAUCAUUUAUACAAGACAUUCUUGGGACAAUUGGAGACAUUCAAAUAUGGAUUCCACAGAAAAGCAUAAUAGAAGUAUUUUUAAUUUUCUGAGAUGCGAUAAUUAUACCCUAAUUUUACGGGCGAAUAUUCUUAUUCUUAAGAGAGCAUACUGACAUAUUCAGGGUAGCAGGAUAAUAAUAAUUUUAAAAGCCUGGCAUUUACAAUAUUUCAUUGUAGCUAAUACUCCAGUUGUUGUAAGAAGCAUCAUUAUUAUUUAUAUGAGGGAGAGGGGAAAAUGUUGCCAGUAAAAAUGAUACAACACUCCCACAUAAAACAAAACCUAUCAAUC
rnacentral:lncRNA from 1 species